UUUGGAGAUGUGGGUCCCAGACACUGUUAGCAUAUUCUAGUGUUGGUCAUACAAGGGUUAUGUAUGCCUGCCGCUUUAUAUUCAUUGGGCAUUUACUAAGAUUCCGUCGUAUAAAGCCUAAAGUUUUAUUUGCCUUUGCAGUGAUAUUUCCGAUGUGGUCAUUCCAUGAUAAAGUGUUUGAUAGCUCCACUCCUAGGUAUGGAUUGUGGUUGACUGUUCCAAGGAUGUGUCCCUCCAUUUAGUAUGGGUAAGAUUAUUGGUUGUCGUCCUGUUGUUAUACGCAAUACAAAACAUUUUGUUGGAUUAAAUAUCAUUUGCCACUUUUUAGUCCAGUUAACCACAGUGGUCAGGUCCUGCUGGAGUUGAAGACAGUGGUUCAUUGAUUGUACAGCUACGUAGAUUAGGCUAUCAUCUGCAAAUAAUCUAAUUGAUGAUUUAAUGCCAAUACCUAUAUCGUUGAUAUGCAAGAGGAACAUCCACGGCCCAAGCACUGUGCCCUGUAGUACAUGUGCAUAUUGUUAGGAAUUUAUAGUUUGCACAAAUUUUACAAUAGACUUUUUGGACUUUGACGUU
rnacentral:lncRNA from 1 species